UACGGAGGGAGCUAGCGUUGUUCGGAAUUACUGGGCGUAAAGCGCACGUAGGCGGCUUUGUAAGUUAGAGGUGAAAGCCCGGGCUCAACUCCGGAACUGCCUUUAAGACUGCAUCGCUUGAAUCCGGGAGAGGUGAGUGGAAUUCCGAGUGUAGAGGUGAAAUUCGUAGAUAUUCGGAAGAACACCAGUGGCGAAGGCGGCUCACUGGUCCGGUACUGACGCUGAGGUGCGAAAGCGUGGGGAGCAAACAGG
rnacentral:rRNA from 1 species